rnacentral:rRNA from 1 species
UGGGGAAUAUUGCACAAUGGGCGAAAGCCUGAUGCAGCAACGCCGCGUGAGUGAUGAAGGCCUUCGGGUUGUAAAGCUCUGUCUUUUGGGACGAUAAUGACGGUACCAAAGGAGGAAGCCACGGCUAACUACGUGCCAGCAGCCGCGGUAAUACGUAGGUGGCAAGCGUUGUCCGGAUUUACUGGGCGUAAAGGAUGCGUAGGCGGAUUUUUAAGUGAGAUGUGAAAAUACCCGGGCUUAACUUGGGUGCUGCAUUUCAAACUGGGAAUCUAGAGUGCGGGAGAGGAGAAAUGGAAUUCCUAUGUAGCGGUGAAAUGCGUAGAGAUUAGGAAGAACACCAGUGGCGAAAGGCGAUUCUCUGGACCGUAACUGACGCUGA